CGAACGCUGGCGGCGUGCUUAACACAUGCAAGUCGAACGCGAAAGGGACUUCGGUCCUGAGUAAAGUGGCGCACGGGUGAGUAACGCGUAGAUAACCUGUCUUCAUGUCUGGAAUAAUACGCCGAAAGGGGUACUAAUACCGGAUAUUCUUGCUUUUCAUAAGUUAUGCAAGCAAAGGUGGCCUCUGCAUAUGCUACUGCAUGAAGAGGGGUCUGCGUACCAUUAGCUAGUAGGUGGGGUAAUGGCCUACCUAGGCGACGAUGGUUAGCGGGUCUGAGAGGAUGAUCCGCCACACUGGCACUGGAACACGGGCCAGACUCCUACGGGAGGCAGCAGUGAGGAAUAUUGCGCAAUGGGGGAAACCCUGACGCAGCGACGCCGCGUGAGUGAGGAAGGCCUUCGGGUCGUAAAGCUCUGUCAAGAGGAAAGAAGUGUACAAUGGCUAAUACCUGUUGUAUUUGACGGUACCUCUAAAGGAAGCACCGGCUAACUCCGUGCCAGCAGCCGC
rnacentral:rRNA from 1 species